ensembl:lncRNA
AUGGCGAGCUUUUCAUUCAUUCUCCCUGAAGACGGACAUUGUUCUUUUAAGGACAACGACGUUAACUCAGGGUGGAUCUCAAUGGUGACCCAACUCAACACCCUUGAAGGUCCAGAGUCAAAGAGUCAGAACAUCCGUCUGAGCUUUGCAGAGGAACUUGGUGACAAGUACCACUACGCGAAUGCCAUCGACAGCUCUCUGCUCUGGACUGUUGGGUACACCCCCUACAUUCCCCCAGCUCUGAAAGGAAGAAGCUUCCCCUCUGUCGAGAGCUUCUUCCUGGAUGAGUGGGAGCCACUGACACUCCUGCAGACUCCUCAGGUUCUGUCCACCAGUGUUUCCAUCGAGGAAGACAACCUGAUCCAGUCUGCUGCAGGCCUAGUGUCUCAGGUUCUGUCCACCAGUGUUGCCAUCGUGGAGAAUGACCUGAUCCAGUCUGCUGCAGGCGUAGUGUCUCAGGUUCUGUCCACCAGUGUUCCCAUCGUGGAGAAUGACCUGAUCCAGUCUGCUGCAGGCGUAGUGUCUCAGGUUCUGUCCACCAGUGUUCCCAUCGUGGAGAAUGACAUGAUCCAGUCUGCUGCAGGCCUAGUGUCUCAGGUUCUGUCCACCAGUGUUACCAUCAUGGAGAAUGACCUGAUCCAGUCUGCUGCAGGCGUAGUGUCUCAGGUUCUGUCCACCAGUGUUGCCAUCGUGGAGAAUGACCUGAUCCAGUCUGCUGCAGGCCUUGGGUCCCUGGUCCUGUCCACCAGUGUUACAAUCAUGGAAAAUGACCUGAUCCAGUCUGCUGCAGGCGUAGUGUCUCAGGUUCUGUCCACCAGUGUUCCCAUCGUGGAGAAUGACCUGAUCCAGUCUGCUGCAGGUCUAGUGUCUCAGGUUCUGUCCACCAGUGUUGCCAUCGUGGAGAAUGACCUGAUUCAGUCUGCUGCAGGCCUAGUGUCUCAGGUUCUGUCCACCAGUGUUACCAUCAUGGAGAAUGACCUGAUCCAGUCUGCUGCAGGUCUAGUGUCUCAGGUUCUGUCCACCAGUGUUGCCAUCGUGGAGAGUGACCUGAUCCAGUCUGCUGCAGGCCUAGUGUCUCAGGUUCUGUCUACCAGUGUUGCCAUUGUGGAAAACGACCUGAUCCAGUCUGCUACAAACCUAAUGUCUCAGGAUGAUGACUCCACCCUGAGAGCCUCCAACCAACCUGAGGUCCUUGUGGCUGAUGUCUCAACCAAGAGAAGUAGACUAGUCAUCACUAUUUCUAUGGUUUCAACCAAGAGUUGCCUUGUUGCUCUACAUGAAGAUGAUGCUAGUGCUACAAGCCUGGAGCAAUCUGCUGAGAAAAUGUCUACCUCUACUACUGAUGUCAACGACAUCUCAACUGCUGCUUCCAAGAAGAAAAAGAGAUGUGGAUUAUUCUCAUCUCUCUGGAGAGCUCUCAGGGGGAAGAACAAGAAGCCUGCUAAAGUGGCUUCCAAGAAAGAGGAUGAAAUCAACAAGGAUGUGAGCAGCCUCACCUGCCACCACAACACUACACAAGGAGAUCACUGAUGCAGGCACCCACAAUGGUGUUCCUAUUUUUUAUCACACUUUGUCUUCAUCCCCAAUCCCUUUCUUCAGUAAACCUUUUGUCAUUGCAUUCGAUUGCGUUUGUCUUUCAUUGGGAUCACUGUCAUUGAAAAGACAAGGGGUUUCGUAGUUCAACUACUUGUCAAUAAAUCACUGGUUAACCUUCAAACUCCGAAUUGAGACAACCGAGGCAAAGACGUCAGCAGGAGGGCAACUGUGACCUUCAGAAAUGUGCAAUUAGGUGAAAAGUUAGUAACCAUGUAACAACGCUAAUACCAUCAGUUCUGUCCACAUUUCCCAGAGAAUAACAGCCGUUCUCGCUCAGCGCCUCAAGAUGGAGUAGUAAGCACAAUUAUAAUGGAUCCCCUCAUAAUGAUGCUUUUAUCAGCUGUUGGAUGUGGGGAUAUUCCCAUAUUAGGAAUUCCUGUGGGAGAUUUAUACCGUGAAUAAGUAUGAUAAUUGGACAUUGUACAUGGAUUGUCUAUGGCUACUGAGUAUUUCCAUCAUGUGAUUGUAGCCUAGGUUAUGAUUCUGUUAUGAUGAGGUUCACAUUGCAGUUGUCUCCUUAGACAUGACUGACUCGUGGUAUUGAAAUCUAUUACAUUACGUUGAUGCAUCAUGAAGUAACCCAUGUGUGUGUAGGAGUUUAAGCACAGGCAUAAUGUAGACGAGGUGUUCAUGUAAGUGUGUUUUCCGUUUGUUCUUUGUCAGAUUAAGAUAUAUAACAGAUGGUGUGACAUGGCUAUAGUUUACGUUUUCCCUCAUUUUUCAAACCACCACCAACAAAUUCCAACCCUGUUCUCAAUUACAUUCACUAUUCCAUUCCAUUUCUGAGGGCUCUUCUACAAAACAAUGUUAUGAGAAUGAAACCUGAAACCAAUAGCCAUCUCCAUUAUUUAGGUUACAGCGAGAGGCUAAAAAUAUCCAGUUCUGACUGGUAGUAGUCACGACCUAAAUUAUGACAAAAUUCUGCACCACUGGUAGUUGACGUCAAUACAGUACAGUCACUUCCUCGGUGACGUAAUCGAACGGACUCGAUCGGUAGCAUUGCCAUCUGCUGGAUGGACUCCGACUCGAGCCCCGUAACAUUACGUCACUGGAAAGGAACCGAUGCCAGUGUUUGGGUCUAGGUUUGAAUACAAAGAGAUGAAUAGCCGACCAUUAGAACUGAUACUCGACAGUAAGAACCUGAGCUACAAUUAAUACGCAUUUAGGCUACAGUAAAUUCUUAAAUAAGUACUCAAUAUGCUUCAGGCGUUUUCUGGAGAGUUUUGGGGAAUCUUGUGACUAAGAAUGUUUCAAAUGAAUUGAGUGUGCAUCAUUGGUAAUGAGAAAAUAGUUGCACAGUCAGCAAAACAGCGUAGGGGUUUUGACUUCAGUUCAUUGCCGUUUAUGUAAAUUCUGCUGUAUAGACUAGCCAGUAUCAUGGUCGUCGUGCAUUUUUUGUUUAAUAUAUUUCAAAAGACAAGGCCUCGACAAUGAAGUGAAUGGAUAGAUAGCAAAAACGAGCAUUAGCUGAUUUAAAACUGUUGCAAUUAUGGUACUUAUGAGUUGUGCUUAAAUGUCUCUGUCCAUGGUGCUGAAAUGUUUUUUCUUUAUCGUGACUGAGAAACGCAUUGCAGGAUGUCCAUUGUACUGAUCCUAUUUUAUUGACAAUCAAAGAUGUUAUUCGAUUCUACUGAUACACACUGUAUGUUCAUCCAGCUAUAUGUUAUGUUGGAUAUUGUUUGAAAUAUAGCUGGUAAGAGUGAUUGUCAUUUGCAUCUCUGACGCAACUUUCAGGAAUCAAACUGAACGUUGAUAAAGUCUAGGACGUUGAACUCUCAGACAGAACCCAGUUUAGUCUUUCCUGUGGAUCAAUAUUUUACGGUCUUAGCGGUCAAUGAAUGUUGGAGCUAUAACGACGGGAACGCGCACUAUUUUUGGUUCAUGUUUGCAGGUGUGUGUGUGUGUGUGUGUGUGGUGCCAGCCAGGGUGGCGUGACUCCUGAAAUAAGUGAGGUUGGGAAAAAG